rnacentral:rRNA from 1 species
GGAGGAAAAGGAAACCAACAGGGAUUGCCCUAGUAACGGCGAGUGAAGCGGCAACAGCUCAAAUUUGAAAUCUGGCUCUUUUAGAGUCCGAGUUGUAAUUUGCAGAGGGCGCUUUGGCUUUGGCAGCGGUCCAAGUUCCUUGGAACAGGACGUCACAGAGGGUGAGAAUCCCGUACGUGGUCGCUGGCUAUUGCCGUGUAAAGCCCCUUCGACGAGUCGAGUUGUUUGGGAAUGCAGCUCUAAAUGGGAGGUACAUUUCUUCUAAAGCUAAAUAUUGGCCAGAGACCGAUAGCGCACAAGUAGAGUGAUCGAAAGAUGAAAAGCACUUUGGAAAGAGAGUCAAACAGCACGUGAAAUUGUUGAAAGGGAAGCGCUUGCAGCCAGACUUGCUUACAGUUGCUCAUCCGGGUUUCUACCCGGUGCACUCUUCUGUAGGCAGGCCAGCAUCAGUUUGGGCGGUAGGAUAAAGGUCUCUGUCACGUACCUCCUUUCGGGGAGGCCUUAUAG